CAUCCAAAUAGGACAGCUUUGGGAGAUGAGUGGAGAAAAACAUGGCUGUGGCAGAUGUUGUACCCACAAAGAAUAAUGAAAUUGAUAAUGUUGGAAAAGACCUCUAAGAUCACCAAAUCCAACCAUCAGCACAGCACCACCACCACAUUCACCACUAAACCAUGUGGUGCUUUGGGCACUUCCAUGUCCUUGUCAUGGACUGAAAAGGGAUGUGGAGAUGAGCAGCCAGUGACCUUUUCUGUCCCAGAGAUGGACAAAACUGUGGACACCUCUUAAUUUUAGGUGCUCUCGUACUGCAGACUCCUCCGAAGCAGAGUUGUAAUGUUAAAAUCCAAACUCCAAGUAAACCUCCUCUCUGUGACAGCCCCGUGGUCCUUUGGCAGUGGGAGAGUUCAUGCUGGCACCAAGCUCACCCUGUGAGCCCCCAGAGUAAAACGGGGUGAGAUCAGUAAAACCUGCACAAGACAUUUCAGAUUGCUUGCAGGCUCUGCUAGC